CGAAUGGGGGGGAGCGGGAUCCGGAGUGACGGGCAGAGCUCGGCGGCAGCUCAUGAAACUGGAAUCACGGCGAGCUGAUAGAAACCAAAUGUCGAAUGGAGCUGGUUGGUUCCACCAUGAGCAGAAAGAGCUCUUGUACUCACUGGUCUCCUGACACAGAUGGGAAGGCAUUGUUGGGAAAGGCUUCCAGAUUUCUGGAGAUGUGAAUCUGCAUUCAGGACUAAAGCUUUGCAAGUCUGUGUGGAAUGGCUGACGAUUUCCCAUAAGAAAAUUCCUGUGGCACCAAAAAUAUAAGCACAUUUAUUU